UGUUCUGUGGCUUAGUUGGUUAAAGCGUCGACCUAGCGAUAAGGAGUAGGUGGGAACGAAUCCCACCAUAACAA
rnacentral:tRNA from 1 species